UACUGUACUCCGUAGAGAGAUCUGUGCCAAUUUUUCAAAUUAUUGUAUUAGAUAUCCUUGAAAUUAUUUUUAAAAAAAUACAUUUGUUUGAUUCUCCUGCAGGAGGAGGAGUCAUUCCAGGGAGCGACACCGAUCAAAGGACAAGGAUCGCCACCGUGAUAGGGAUCGAGAUGACAAGAAGAGUCGCAGCAAAGAUCACAAGAGAUCUCGAUCCAGAUCCAGGAGUAUUUCGAAGAAGGAAGAUAAGGCAAAGUUAGAUAACGGCACUGCUCGGAGUUCCUCUCCUCAAAAUGAAAAUGGAAAAAGUGAUGAUGCUGAGGGCAAAAAAGGAAAAGGUGAUGAUACAAAAUCUCCCUCACGAUCCAGAUCACGGUCUAAAUCCGGUGACAGAAGCGAAUCAGGGUCGCCAGUGAAGGUGAAAAAAGAGAAUCGAUCCAGGUCAAGGUCUGGAUCUUCUGGCUCAGAUUCUGCCCGGAAUGGUGAUGCUGACAGCAGCAAUCACAAAAAACGCUCUCCAUCGCACUCAAGAUCUCGCUCAAGGUCCAAAUCGAAGUCUGAUCGCCGUGACAAAUCUCGUAGCUCAAGUAGUAGUUCCUCAUCAUCGAAGCACUCUGACAAAGCUUCCAAGGACAGUGACUUUGAAAUUCGCAAGAAAGAAAAUAGCAUCCAAAAAAAGCGUCAGUAUAGAUCAAACAAAGAUGAAUCCUCUGACAGUGACUCGGACCAUCACCGAAAAGGUUCCCGCUAUGGCAGAGAUCGCCGUGAUAAAUCUCGAUCGAGAUCCCGCAGGCGCUCUAAAUCGCGCUCCAGGGACCGCUACAGUCGCCGAAGUAGCCGCAGGUCUGCUGAUAGAGAUAGAGAAAGAGAGCGUGAACGAGAACGGGCACGUGAGCGUGAACGUAGAUUCCGUGAACGUGCAAGGAGAGAAAGAGAGGAACGGCAGAGGAGAGAGGAAGAACGCAGAGAAAGAGCGAGGGAGCGAGAACGCCGUGAAAGAGAGAGGCGGGAGCGAGAGAAAGAGAGCAGCGUGAAAGGGAACGUGAGCGAGAACGCAGAGAGAGAGAGAGAAAGAGAAAGUGAACGUGAGAAAGAGAAGGAAAAAGAGCGUGAAAGAGAAGCAGAACGUGAACGAGAACGAGCUAAAGUGGCGGUCAGAGAUAGAGACAGGGAUAAAGAUAGAAAGGAUCGAGACCGUGAUGUUGAUAGAAAGAGGCGUAGAUCGUCUAGCCGACGUCGGUCAAGGUCAACCAGCCGUCGAUCAAAAUCAAAGAGCCUGUGAGUAUACACUCCUUUAGUAUUUGAAUUAAAUCUACUGGAGGGUCAGAGCCAUUGCUUUAAGUCAAUGGCUUAGGCAGAGAAAAAAUAAACUUGCAGAUAAUGUGGUUUUUUUUAAUCAAGUAAUAAUCUGUAUGGUUGACCAGGCAAGUAAAAAAUUGCCAUUAAAAGAUACUAGUAUUUGGAAAAGCUGUUAAUUGUUUUGCCCAUUACUCAACAGCAUUCCUAAUCACAAAAGAGUAAAGAAAUAAGCAUUCAUUCAUGGUCUUAAGCAUUAAUAUAAAUUGAGCGGCAAAUGAUAACUAGGCGUAAUGACCUAUUACAAGCCUUUAAGUAACAUAUGACAUUUACUAUUAGACUCAUGAAACAUAUCAUGUAAAGUCUGCUUUAAAGUAAUGUUUUCUUAUUGUUUUUGCUUUUCUUUCCAGUAUUCAAGGAGCCUAUCAAGAACACCAUCUCCAUUUAAAAAGUCUGAAGAAAAGGGAAGCAAAGUCUUCCAAGCAUGAUAAAUCCAGAGAUCGCGACAGGUAAACUCAUAAUGUUAAUCAGGCCUUCAUCAUCAGAAAUCCCUCUUUGAUGAGAGGCUAAGCAUUAGAGAGCUUUUUACCGAGAUCAAUGCUAUAAGAAAAAUAUAGAAUUUAAGUGGUUGAAUUGCCGUUUUAGUAGCAAAAUCUGACAAAGUCAAGCAUGCCAUUACUGAGAAUCCUCAAUCCAGAAUACUGAUCGAAUACAUAAAAAAAAAUUAAUGAUUGAAA
rnacentral:lncRNA from 1 species